AGCAAGCGAGGGAUGACCAAGCCAGAUCCACCUUCAGGUUUGUGCAGAGGCAACAGCAACACAUGUUUGCCAUUAUCAACCUGUAGAUUUGGUACUAUAUUAGUUUGAAGAUUGUGUCGGAUCCACAAGAGAGGCAAAAUAUGGAGUGGAAACUACAGUCCAGACACUGCAGGCUUUGAAAGAUUUGCAUGGAGCACAGGUCGGGAUGCUCCCGUUCAUCUUUGGUUUGUUCCGGGCGCAUCGCAGUGCCUAGCUCCACCUGUCUACCUACUUCCUCGCUGUUCUCCUGCUUGCAGGAUCCCAUCUUGAUUUCCGAUCUCAUUAGAUAAGAGUCACAUGAGGGUGAUUUGAGCAAAGAGUUGAUGUCCCUUGAUGUUGUAUGCGAUGUGCAGCUGCAGAGGUUCAGUCCAUGCAUCUUCUGCAAGGUAAAAUUGUACAUGGUAAUAUGGUGUAUAAUCCAGAUGGUGCCAUACAAGCUAUCAUUUGUAUUUGUUCAUGGGGAACCUUUUGUUGCAGAGUAUGCUCGUAUCCGACCAUCAGCUUGUGAAGGGAUCAUAAUAUAUGCCACCUCUCUAUACUGAACACGAUUGGAUUCUGAUGUAUCCUAGCAAUACUCCUCCCUGCCCUCCUCUCACUUGUUCAGGAGAAAAAGGGGAUGUAUACAAGGGCUGCUUCUUCCACCGAAUCAUCAAAGGAUUUCAUGAUUUAGGGUGGGGAUUUUGCAGGAAAACAAUGUCUGAAGAGCAUUAGUGGCCUCUGUUCAGCUUUUUCUCUUCAUCUAUUCGGCAGCCGCUGUUGGUGGACAACGGCGGCCUCAGGUGGUGCAUGGUGGGUCCUGCCAAGUCACCGACACGAUUUCUCCCACGCAGGUGACUGGCAGCUGGGCAACGCCGCGGCCAUUGAGCCGAAGGUGGCUGAGCGCCAGAGCUCCCAGCUUAGGAAGACGACGCGACGGGAUGGCGCAGCACCACGGCCUUCAGCACCCUUGCCGUUAGCAGCCUGCCCCUAUCAUAAGUCCUCUCGCGACCUGUUGGUUCUUCUGUUCCAGGACGAGAUGGUCAUCUUGCUAGGUUUCGGAGCCCUGUGGGCCUCUUCGCCGCUCGUCCUUGUCACCCUCUCUGCACCAGCAUCUCGCUUCCUUCUUGCUUCCAGUCAGGAUGGGAGGCUUCUAUUUAGGAGGCGCUCAUGGUACUAGGUCUCCAUAGACCUGGCCGUUUCAGAAUGGGAACAAGGUAAUAACGCUCCUUAUGAAAAAAAACACAUAAUAUUGCUUUGGUUCUGUUAUAGCCACAUUUGUGUUAUGGCCAAAACAUACCAUUUCUUUGUUACAAGUAAGCUUCAUUUCCACCAUAAAAAACUACUUGUUUGGUAUGAAAAUGAAACCAUGAGCAGUAUAUCUCUCGAUGGGUGAAAUUUGGCAAAUGUAGCAAUUUCCUUGGUCGUGCAAAAUUUGUUCUUGGUGCUUGUGUAAUGAUGUUUAUUAAACUAUGGGAAAGAUAAGUACAACAUUGCAUUUUUAAAGAAACUAGAUGACCCGGUGCGCCCCGGCGCACAGGCAAACACAAGACGAUGCUAUAACCAUAUGUUUUAUGAUACUUAUGUUUGUUUAGUUGUCCAAGAAUCAUUACUCUUUGAGAGCCCUUAAGCCUAUAUAGACAAUCUUUUAUAAAGAGCAUAGAAACAUAAGUUUUAGUUCACUUAUUUUUUCAAGAAUUCAAUAUGUCCCUUAAGCUUGUAUAAGCAAUCCUUUAAAACAAAAUAAAAAAAGUUCAAUGAGGAUCCCAUUGAGUGGGGUCCGGAUGAUCUCAAGACCAAUUAUCAUGAACACAUGGCUCUCGCCGCCGCUUUUGGGAUGGGAACAAGACUAGAAGUUCAAGACAAAGAGGAAGCUCAAGAUACUCUCCUCGUGACUCUCCAAGAAAUUUCUCCAAGAGCACAAGGGAGGGGCAAAGGGGGAGAACAUGCUACAAUUGCAGCGACAAAAGUCAUUUUGUUGCGGAUUGUGUCUAUGAGAGAAGGGAAGAAAAUGGUGGAAGGAUCGUCCGCAAGGACAAGUUCAAAUCCCUCUCCAAAGGAUUCUCCAAGUUCUCUGAUACGUCUCUGACGUAUCGAUAAUUUCUUAUGUUCCAUGCCACAUUAUUGAUGAUAUCUACAUGUUUUAUGCAUACUUUAUGUCAUAUUUAUGCGUUUUCCGGAACUAACCUAUUGACGAGAUGCCGAAGGGCCAGUUGCUGUUUUCUGCUGUUUUUGGUUUCAGAAAUUCUAGUAAGGAAAUAUUCUCGGAAUUGGACGAAAUCAACGCCCAGCAUCUUAGAAUCCCCGGAAGCAUCCAGAACACCCGAGAGCCGCCAGAGGGGGGCCACAGGGGCCCCAGAUGACAGGG